AUGCACAGUUCUUCUGCAUGAGGGUCUAAAUGACGGGUUCCCUGCGGGAUGGCUGUGCCAUGAGGGCAAAUCUUCAUUCUCCCCUGAACUUGAGUAUCGAAUGUGCUAAUUAAAAAGAGUUGUCGAAAAUUCGAGAAUAUUGAGGAUUAUUUUUUAAUAAGGAUUGAUAAAAUUAAGACCUGUAUUAUCUGGGUAAAACAUUAUAUAUAACUUUUUUUUUUUUUGUCUUUGUGCCUUUUCUAGGGCCGCUUUCCACGGCACAUGGAGGUUCCCAGAUUUAUUUCAAAUCUUUCAUCAUACUAAUUUAUAAGUGCAAUCGAAGUUUUUCAUGUCUAUCUGAAGUAAUGAGUGAGGGGAUAAUUUUGGUCCUGGGGGUUACUACAAAAGCCAAACAGGUCUACUGUCUGUUUUCAUAGUCAUGUCAUGAUUUUUCAAAAAAUGAAUGUGGGAAUCGCUUUGCUAAAUUCUGCAAGUCUUUCAGUAAAUGUGAAAAUGAAGGAGACUAAAAACUUUUCUGUGUUUUUGAACACCGCCACCUGAAAUGUAUUUCCUAUGACUGGAAAUGCUCAGAAUAUAAGACUGUUUUGGAGAUGGUACCACAAAGUAUUCACUGGAAGCAUCUUCUGUGCCAAUAUUUACCUGCUUUUCUGGGGGAUCUGGGUGGGCAGCGGUUCUGCCUUCCACAAGCUCACCCACCCCUUUCAAGUGCAAAAGCAAAUACUCCGGAGGGAAGGAGAGAAGGCCCCCGGUGUGUUGAGUCAGAGGACUAAGAGCUCAGGUUUUCUGGUAUAAGAGCUCUCAGGGGUGAAAACUGUCCAGGGUGAAGCCACCAAUUAUCCUGCCUUGAUUUUAUCUUCAGGUGGGAAGACAGGCCUUAGGGGAGAAAAAUGAACUCCUGCAUCAUGGAUUUGGGGAGCUUUGUGAGUGCAGGAUAGGUUCCCAAACACCGAUAUUAUUCUGGGUGAAUGGCAUUCUCCCAUUAACCAGGCUUUCUUGUGCAACCUGAAACUCACCUACCCAUGAGAAAAGAAAAACGUCUGUAUGUUCCCUGCAGAGAAAAAAGGGGGCACCCCACCAAUUCU
rnacentral:lncRNA from 9 species